CCCUUAGAUGUUCUGGGCCGCACGCGCGCUACACUGAUUCAUGCAACAAGUUUUGUCCUUGGCUGAUAGGCCUGGGUAAUCCUUGAACGUGAAUCGUGAUGGGGAUAGAUGAUUGCAAUUAUUCAUCUUCAACGAGGAAUUCCUAGUAAACGCAAGUCAUCAGCUUGCAUUGAUUACGUCCCUGCCCUUUGUACACACCGCCCGUCGCACCUACCGAUUGAAUGGUCCGGUGAAAUCUUCGGAUCUGAGAGAUGUCUGAUUAAUUUCGGACGCCUUUUGGAAAAGUUGUUUAAACCUUACCAUUUAGAGGAAGGUGAAGUCGUAACA
rnacentral:rRNA from 1 species